rnacentral:lncRNA from 1 species
UAUCUCCAGAACUAUGCCCUUUCUCAUUUUUCACCUGUGCUCUGCACAGCUAUAAGAUACUCUGCACAGCUUCUAGGAACUUCCAAAGGGUAAAUGAUCCCAAAUGUAAAGAUUUCAUCAACUGGUGAGUUAAUUUAUCCUCUAGUUAGGAGAUAGCUGAACUCAACCCGCUCUGUUGUUGUUGGUUGAGACAGGGUCUCACUCUCGCCCAGGCUGGAGUGCAGUGGCCCGAUCAUGGCUCGCUGCAGCCUCAACCUCCCAGGCUCAGAGGUUGUUUUGUUUUUGUUUUGUUUUGUUUUGUUUUGUUUUUGAGAUGGAGUCUCUCUCUGUCACCCAGGUUGGAGUGCAGUGGCGUGAUCUCGGCUCACUGCAACCUCUGCCUCCCAGGUUCAAGCGAUUCUCUUGCCUCAGCCUCCCAAGUAGCUGGGAUUACAGGUGCCCACCACCCUACCCAGCUAAUUUUUGUAUUUUUAGUAGAGACAGGGUUUUACCAUGUUGCCCAGGCUGGUCUCGAACUCCUAACCUCAGGUGAUCCACCCAUCUUGGCCUCCCAAAGUGCUGGGAUUACAGGCGUGAACCACCGCGCCCAGCCUCUAAUGAAGUUGUUAAGGUAAGAAUUUAUUAGCAAAGUGAACUUUAAAUCAUGUGUAAACUUUAAUAAUAGUUCAUUCCACUGUGUGUUUCCUUGCUUCCUGGUUGUCAAAUAUUAAUUCAUACCCAGGAUAUAUUAUUUUAAAAAUACGAUAUAGCCCCUAAAGCUUGCUGCAAAUAUCUAUCCACCUCCUAUUUCUUACAGUUCCUUGAUUCAAUGUCCUCUUAGUUUCUUGAUCUGACUGUUCAGUUUCGUAUUCUGAAUUCUUGUGUUCCACGUUUAAAAACAAAAACAAAAACAAAAAAAAACAACAAAAAAUGUGUGAGUAUUCUUCUGUAGAAAUGAGGUCUACAUUGCAGCCUGAUUCUGUAAUAGUAAUUGAAGAGUCAGUGUUACUUUUCUGUAAAUGUUUCUUUGGCAUCUCUGAUUUAUUUGGCUUCUGAAAUCUAAUUUCUUCCUCCUUCUUUGAAAAAGUAGGUCCCUUCCACUUGGUUUGUUGUGGUGAGCCCUGAGCAAUGCCUGGAGAUUGAUCUUCCAGCAGACAGUGGAAUGAUUCCAGGAAGGUUUUAGCACCCGGCCUGUCUUUGCAGCUCUGCAGUCCUCAAAGUCUCCAAACUCUGAUGCGAGCGUUCACAUUUUCCUGUGCACAGGGACAAAACUACGAAGACUUUUUGCUGCAAAACGAAAACCCAUUGGCUGAUCUACCUUGUAACUGCUAUCUACUUUAUAUACUCAAAUAGCUGUGUUUAGGAUCGAAAUGAUCAGGUCUGGAAUAUACUGCAGUAGAUACUGCAAUUCACAAGCAAUUUUACAGAAGAAGCACCCAACCCCGACUCUAAACUAUGUUUGCCUUUCCUCAAGAGUCACUUCUAAACUUUUUUUCACAACACACACUUUUCAUAGUUGUAACCUUUCCAUUUGGUGUUUUGUUUUGGGGUUUUUUGUCACUUAAAAUAAUCUAAUCUACACGUUCCCCAGAGCCAGCAGAGGCUACAUUCCUGUCAUUUAAAAUCAUUUGCUGGUGUUUUCCUUAUGUCACUAUACCAUAAUUUGCUGGGCCAUUUCCUUAUUUGGUAUUUGGAUUAUUUCCAAUUCUUCACUCUUAUAAAUAGCGGCACAUGAACAUCUUUGCACAAGUUACAUUUUUUCCCUUUUGGGUUAUUUCCUUGGGGUGUAUUCCCAAAACUGGUAUUGCUGGGUCAAAGGUUUGAAAAGUUUCAUAGCUCUUGUUACCCACUGCCAGAACGUUCUCCAGGCACAUUGUGGCAUGUUUGAGCAUUUCAAAUGUUUAAGUAGGUUUCCCACGACAUAAAAUAAUAUUAACCAUCUUUUUUUUCUGAUUUUUCCAUAAUCUUCAUGAGGGAAGGAAUUGCAAAAUUUCAAAACAAAAUAAAAAUAAAGAUGAAAAAGCGCUAUUUCUGUAGCCAGAGAUGAGCCCUUUUAGGCUAGCUUGAUUGUAAUGUCAACUGAUGAGGAUCUGAGACUGAGACAGUUUUCGGGAGAAUUUAAACCCUACUAGUGGCAAGCAAUUAGGAAAACUUGUUAAGAAGAGUAGAUAGGGAGGUGAAAAAUAAUAAAAAAGGUUG